rnacentral:rRNA from 1 species
AGCGAACGCUGGCGGCAGGCUUAACACAUGCAAGUCGAGCGGGCAUCUUCGGAUGUCAGCGGCAGACGGGUGAGUAACACGUGGGAACGUACCCUUCGGUUCGGAACAACUCUGGGAAACUGGAGCUAAUACCGGAUACGCCCUUAUGGUGAAAGGUUUACUGCCGAAGGAUCGGCCCGCGUCUGAUUAGCUAGUUGGUGGGGUAACGGCCUACCAAGGCGACGAUCAGUAGCUGGUCUGAGAAGAUGAUCAGCCACACUGGGACUGAGACACGGCCCAGACUCCUACGGGAGGCAGCAGUGGUGAAUAUUGGACAAUGGGCGCGAGCCUGAUCCUGCCAUGCCGCGUGAGUGAUUAAGGCCUUAGGGUUGUAAAGCUCUUUUGUCCGGGACGAUAAUGACGGUACCGGAAGAAUAAGCCCCGGCUAACUUCGUG